UGGGGAAUUUUGGACAAUGGGCGCAAGCCUGAUCCAGCCAUGCCGCGUGCGGGAAGAAGGCCUUCGGGUUGUAAACCGCUUUUGUCAGGGAAGAAACGCACUAGGCUAAUACCCCGGUGUAAUGACGGUACCUGAAGAAUAAGCACCGGCUAACUACGUGCCAGCAGCCGCGGUAAUACGUAGGGUGCAAGCGUUAAUCGGAAUUACUGGGCGUAAAGCGUGCGUAGGCGGCUUUGCAAGACAGAUGUGAAAUCCCCGGGCUUAACCUGGGAACUGCAUUUGUGACUGCAUGGCUGGAGUGCGGCAGAGGGGGAUGGAAUUCCGCGUGUAGCAGUGAAAUGCGUAGAUAUGCGGAGGAACACCGAUGGCGAAGGCAAUCCCCUGGGCCUGCACUGACGCUCAUGCACGAAAGCGUGGGGAGCAAACAGGAUUAGAUACCCUGGUAGUCCACGCCCUAAACGAUGUCAACUGGUUGUUGGACGGCUUGCUGUUCAGUAACGAAGCUAACGCGUGAAGUUGACCGCCUGGGGAGUACGGCCGCAAGGUUGA
rnacentral:rRNA from 1 species